rnacentral:rRNA from 1 species
UACGAACUGUGCAAACGUUAUUCGGAAUCACUGGGCUUAAAGGGUGCGUAGGCGGAUUUGAAGGUCCGAUGUGAAAGCCCACGGCUCAACCGUGGAAUUGCGUCGGAAACCACAAAUCUUGAGGGAGUCAGAGGUAAGCGAACUGAUGGUGGAGCGGUGAAAUGCGUUGAUAUCAUCAGGAACACCGGUGGCGAAAGCGGCUUACUGGGGACCUUUUCUGACGCUGAGGCACGAAAGCUAGGGGAGCGAAACGGGGAUUAGAUACCCGGCGUAGUCC